rnacentral:piRNA from 1 species
UCAUCUUCUCAGAGCUGCUGUCCAACCUG